rnacentral:lncRNA from 1 species
AGGGUUCCCUUGUUUUGUCAUAAGAACUAACAUGCAGACCUAAUUCAAGUGAUUCCUAUUAAGAAUGCUCAACUUAAUAGAUAAAGUUGUCAAUUGAGAGACUACAAGGUAAACACGAGUGAAGGUGAGAGAGAGAUAUUGUUCUCCUAACUCUUGUCUUUACAGGCACUAUGCAAUGUCUCACCAAAGCGCAAUAGCUGAGUAGCCACCUUAGAAGAAGUGUCAUGGACAUGUUCACCUAGUUAAGUGUCCAAUAGGGAAAAAUGGCCGCCUGUAUGGAUUGUCAGGAGCAAGGCAAGCACCACAGUCGUGCUUGAUGCCAAAUAGUGCGCAACGAGAUUGGAUCAUGUGGCAACGAUGUUGGUAACAAAGAGGGAGGCCAUCUCGAAGAGGUGACAGUGACGUCCAUGACUUCAAGUUCCAGAUACCAGUAUUUCUAAGGAAGAAUGACCUUGAAGCCUACCUUAAGUGGGAACAGAAAGUCGAUCACAUUUUUAGCUAUCACAAUUAUAGUAAGAGAAAAAGCUCAAGUUGGCCACCCUUGAGUUUACCGACUAUGCCUCAAUAAGGUGGGAUCAAUUAGCUCUUCUCUGGG